rnacentral:lncRNA from 1 species
CUGCUUCCCCUCACACCUGAGAUAUAUUGUCACUGUACUUCAACACUGGACUCCUCCUUGUUCUGCUUUGGGCUAUUAAUUUUAUCCCCUUCUUUGCUCAAUUUGCUGAAAAAUUAACUUUCAAGAGUAAAUGCGCUAUAGUAUUUUGUUUUUGCUUUUUUCGCUUUCCUUCUCUAAUUUUUGCUUGCUUCAGAUCUGUGUUCUCCAAUGGGUGGAUGUGCUUUCUUUAGUUUGCAAAGGGAUCCCAUCUAUGGAUAAUGUUUCGUGUCAUUGGGUAAGCUUCAAUUCUCCAACCUUUUCCUUUGUUUGGUAAAUCUCUAAUAAAUAAUACAUGGCAGUUGGAGUAGAAGUUGAGUGCACGUAAAGCUCGACAACUCCACCCUAUAGUGAUAUGAGCAUUUUCUAGAUUUCCAAUUUCUAAUUUGAUCUUAGAUAUUUCCCAUUUUACGAAGUCCUUUUUGAUGGAUGAAGUAGUGUAAGCUAGAUAGCAAUUCACUUUUUCUGAAACCCUUGUGGUUAUGUAAAUAUUUGUCAAGUGAACAAACUUGUACUUUAGCAUACUCUGCCCUAUUAUCCCCUGAUAUGUGAUUCUAUUAAAUAUGAGAACUUUACUUAUUACUAUUGAUGAUUUUCUUUCCUGUUGUUUCCAUGUUCUGAAAAUGCAAAAAAGUAUAAUUACCUUUGUCUAUUUAUAGAUUUUCUAGGUAGUUUUCUAACUGAUUGCCUUCUCUUAUAAUAUACUGAAACUUUGUCUGUUUAUCUGCAAAAUUGAAACACCCUAAAUCUUAGCCCUUGCAAAAUUUCUUGAGUUUUGGACAUUCUGUCCAUGGUACGACUCAUGGGUGUAAGACCCCAUAUUUUUGGACUAGUCUUUGAACCAUCGUUACUACGUGUAUAAGUUAUAAUCCAAAUGAUUCCCAUGUGAAUAUAAGUUUCAUGAUCUUUAUCCUCAUGUUUGAUGUGAUUUCGAGGUAAGAUCAAUUGAUUCAUCCAAAAUUUGGUAUUUGAUUCUAUAAAGAUCUACUUUAAACGUGUAUAACUUUUUCUAUAGAUAGAAUUUUUCAGCUCAAGACCCACCAAAUUAUAGUUAAUUGAAUAAGCUUUCCAACGAUAUAAAUUAUUCCUAAAUCUAAUACCUGAGAGAAAAGUUACAACCAUUUUCAUGAGAGGCAGCAAGCCAAGGCAAUAUGCCCGCGCCGCUCGGCUUAUUGCACUAGGAUAGGCAAGGCGCUGUGGGAUCUACUCACUCAGGCUAAAGGAGGCGAUGCCUUGUCCAUUCCCCAGCUGUUUUAAACUCUUUAAGGGUCAAGGGGCACUUUGGUCCUUUCCCCUCAACCCCCAAAUGUCCAUGGGACGAUUUAAAGCAUCCAAUAGGGCUUUAUUUGCCCAUAUUCUUCAAGAUUUACUCUCAAGAAACCCUCAUACUUUUCCAUGAACAAGGUUCAAGCUUUUCCUCUCAAGAACACAAGGAUUCAGGCUUCAAAUUCACGAUUUCUUUAAUAAUCCAUCGAAUUAAGGUAUGUGGGUGUUAAUCCAUGAGUCCUCUUUCACCCAUGGGGACCAAAAUCCCUUUUCUUUCAAUUAAAGAAUGAAUCAUGUUAUUUUGUAAGUUCAAGAAAAGAUUGAUUUUCAUGAUGUUUUUAAUUCAAUUCAUCCCAUGUUUAAUUCCAUGCAAGAUUUUGAAUUCCUCAUGCCAUGAAUUUGAGUUUCCCCAUGCUAAUUCAAGUGAAUUCAAUGAUGGAUCCUAAGUUUAGGAUUUUUAGCAACAUUCCCAUGCUUUAAAUUCAUGCUUUCCACAUGUUUGGUGAGAUUCCCAUAUCAUGUUCAACUAGUUUCAAGAUGAAUCCCCACAGUAUAAAUUUUGCCAUGUAACUCUAUUGUUUCCUUAUGUUUAAGACAUCCUUAUGUUCAAGCUAUGAUACUUACAUGUUUUGAUGAAAUGCCCAUGUCUUAUUUCAUGCGAAUUUCAUGUAAAUUCCCCAAUUCAUGAUUUUAUUUAUUUAAUCAUUCUAUGCUUCCAUGUUUAAGAUAUUUCCAUGUUCAAGUUCAUGAUCUCCAUGUGUUUGAUGAAUUGUCACAUGUUAAAGUAUUAAUCUCCAUGUGUUUGAUGAAAUGCCCAAAUGAUGGAUUUCCUUAAAUAAUGCUUACUUAUCAUGGUUUUAAAUGUUUUCAUGUGUCCCUAUUGUUUUUGCUGCUGAGUUUUGGGGGUUAUUAAAUCCCAAAAUUUAGCUGUUUGCAUAGUUUUCAGUAUCUUCAGAAUGGUUUUAGAUAAACCAUGAGCCUUGUUAUUCAGUUAGUAUCAUAUUCAGUUAAAUUUAGUCUAGUUUUAGUUCCAGUAUCAAUUUACACAUUAAUAAUUACCUCAGAAGCUAUAUGCACUGUUAUUUUUAGAAUACCAUGACCUGAGCUUAUCAGUUAUUAGUUAUCAGUGCACACACCAGUUAGUAAUUCAGUGUCUUUCAGUUAGGAGUAGGAUUUAGGACUUGAGUGAACCCAGGGAUGGAAGCAUUCCUACCAGCAUAGGGUUUGAACCUUAGUAGCAAUCCUUGAGUUACAGAACUACAUAGCCAGCGAAGGUUUGAGAUGUCUUCCUACCAGUUUAGGGUUGACAUAUAUCUCAUGAGUUUCCUGCUAGUAUAGAGUUACUCCUUAGUCCAUCGAGACACCAGUUCAGUGGAUCCACACAGUCAGUUUUAGUACCCAUGGCACAGUACUGACACCCUUCCAACUGGGGUUACAGGUUGGACCCUGAUUAGCUCAGAUUGGGGCAUGUCGGUUAGAUGAGACCUCCCACAGUUUAAGUCAGUUAAUCAUUAUAAUUUAGUUUCAGGUUUGCUUGACCAUAGCGUACAGUUAUCAGUUAUUUAGUAUCUGUAUUUCAGUACUUCAGUUUACAAAUUAUUUCAGUAUCAUGUUAUAUGCUUGGUCUUGCAUUCUCAGAUUUUACAGUUUCAUGCAUUCAUGUUUAGUUAUCCCAUUAUUCAGUUAGUCCGUAUCUCGUAGGCACAGUACUCCACAGUUGUCAGUGCAGUUAUUCAGACUAAGUUAAGUUCAGUCUUACAUGACCAGUAUUCAGCUAUCUGUCAUUCAAUUAAUCAGAUAAGUUUAGUAUAUGUUACGUUUGGUUUUGUAUGUUCAUGCAUUCGUGCUCAGUAUGAUAGUAUAUUCAGAUCCUCGAGUUAUGUUAGUCUCCACCGUGUAGUUUUAGACCCAAUAUUCAUACAGUACCCACAUUUUACUAUUUUUCAGCUCCAGUUCUACAUAUAUUAUAGAAGUAAAGUUUUAAGAAACUAAGUGUAGUGAUUCACCAUCUUAUCUGAUUAUUCUUGUUAUGCAUGUUUUAAGAUACUUCAACUUUUAGUUUAUUUCAGUGUAUUGGUGAGUCUACUUAUACCUAGUCAUGCAUGUUUUAAGAUUAUGCAUGAAAUCAGUUUUACUUAUUGCAUUCACCCCUGUAUACUCAGUACAUCUAGAAGUACUGAUCCACAUAUAUGUCUAUGUGCUAUAUUGUCUAGUAAUGUGGGUACUAUUUAUAGCUUUUGUACCAUAAUCAGAUAGUUGCAGCUUCCAUCCAGCUGGUGAAGAGUUCUCCUAUUUCGGGAACUUCAGUCAGAUUUAAUUCAUGUACUAUGUUGUAUUUAUUCUUAUGUAUUGAUUAGUGGUAGUUGGAGGCAUGUCACAGCUACCUAAAGUCAGUAUAGCAUAGGGUUCAUAGAUGUCAGUCAGAGUCAGUCAUGUAAAUUUCAAUUUUCUCCUCAGUUUUAUUAGAUUAUAAAGUGUAUCAGUAAUAUAAUUUUUCUUAGAUUUUUUUAUGAUUAUAUUUCUGUACAAAAGAACAACUAUUUAUUUUAUUAUAAUUCAGUUGGUUAACAGUAUGCCAG